GUACACGCUGUGACUAGCAUAUCAAUAAGCGGAGGAAAAGAAACUAACAAGGAUUCCCCUAGUAACGGCGAGUGAAGCGGGAAGAGCUCAAAUUUGAAAUCUUAAAGGGUUUCCCUUUACGAAUUGUAGUUUAAAGAAGUGUUUUCUGUUGAGGUUUUGGUAAAAGUUCUUUGGAAUAGGACAUCAUAGAGGGUGAGAAUCCCGUAUUUGACCUUUACUUUCAACUUUGUGAUACACUUUCAAAGAGUCGGAUUGUUUGGGAAUGCAGUCCAAAAUGGGUGGUAAAUUUCAUCUAAAGCUAAAUAUUGGCGAGAGACCGAUAGCGAACAAGUACCGUGAGGGAAAGAUGAAAAGAACUUUGAAAAGAGAGUUAAACAGUACGUGAAAUUGUCAAAAGGGAAGCGUUUGACACCAGUGUUGUUUUUCUGAAAAUCAAUUAAAGAACUGUUUAUGCUAAGUUGUUUAGGACUUUAUCAGCUAACUGUUUAGUUUUGAGCUUUUCUUUAAUGCACUUUUCAGUUAACAAGUCAACAUCAAUUUCUUUUGCUGUAAAAAAGCUUGAGGAAGGUGGCUUGAGAUUCGUCUUAAGUGUUUAUAGCCUCUUGCCUAUGCAGUCGGAGAGAUUGAGGUCUGCAGCGUAGAUCCUUCGGGGCUAAAUGCAUUUGUGCUAAGUUAUAGCAUUUUAUAGACAACUUGUUGACUAUGAUUUGUCUUGUAGCUUACUCGCUUAUGUUAUUUUACCUACGCUUAGGAUGUUGAGGUCAUCGUAUCGCGC
rnacentral:rRNA from 1 species